rnacentral:rRNA from 1 species
GUCGAGGAUCAUUCGCAAUGCGCGAAAGCGUGACGGUGCGACGCCGCGUGCAGGAUGAAGGCCUUCGGGUUGUAAACUGCUGUCAGGAGGGAGCAACUGAUCUGUACGUGAAUAACGUAUGGAAGUGAUAGUACCUCCAGAGGAAGCCACGGCUAACUCUGUGCCAGCAGCCGCGGUAAUACAGAGGCGGCGAGCGUUGUUCGGAUUUACUGGGCGUAAAGGGUGCGUAGGCGGUUCCGCAUGUCGGAUGUGAAAUCUCACUGCUUAACGGUGGAAUGGCAUUCGAAACUGCGGGGCUGGAGUUCGGGAGAGGAGAGCGGAAUUCCUGGUGUAGCGGUGAAAUGCGUAGAUAUCAGGAGGAACACCGGUGGCGAAGGCGGCUCUCUGGACCGAUACUGACGCUGAGGCACGAAAGCUGGGGAAGCAAACAGGAUUAGAUACCCGGGUAGUCC